GAUGAACGCUGGCGGCGUGCCUAAUACAUGCAAGUCGAGCGAACGGACGAGAAGCUUGCUUUUCUGAUGUUAGCGGCGGACGGGUGAGUAACACGUGGAUAACCUACCUAUAAGACUGGGAUAACUUCGGGAAACCGGAGCUAAUACCGGAUAAUAUUUUGAACCGCAUGGUUCAAAAGUGAAAGACGGUCUUGCUGUCACUUAUAGAUGGAUCCGCGCUGCAUUAGCUAGUUGGUAAGGUAACGGCUUACCAAGGCAACGAUGCAUAGCCGACCUGAGAGGGGGAAGGGCCACAGGGAGAGCAAGACAGGGGCCAGACCCAUAGGGGAGGAAGGAGUGGGGAAUUGUCCGAAAGGGGGGAAGGCAUGAAGGGGAAACGCCGCGUGAGGGAAGGGGGUUUUGGGAUGGAAAAACUUUUUUAUUGGGGAAAGAAAUAUGGGAAAGUAACUGGGCAAAUUUGGAGGGUACCAAAAAAAAAAGCCGGGGCAAACCGCG
rnacentral:rRNA from 1 species